rnacentral:rRNA from 1 species
ACCACUCUGGCCGCUUCGGAUGUCUAACCUCGGUCCGUGAUCCGGACCAGGGACAGUGCCUGGUGGGUAGUUUAACUGGGGCGGUUGCCUCCUAAAAUGUAACGGAGGCGCUCAAAGGUUCCCUCAGCCUGGUUGGCAAUCAGGUGUCGAGUGCAAGUGCACAAGGGAGCUUGACUGUGAGACUGACAGGUCGAGCAGGGACGAAAGUCGGAACUAGUGAUCCGGCGGUGGCUUGUGGAAGCGCCGUCGCUCAACGGAUAAAAGGUACCCCGGGGAUAACAGGCUGAUCUUGCCCAAGAGUCCAUAUCGACGGCAUGGUUUGGCACCUCGAUGUCGGCUCGUCGCAUCCUGGGGCUGGAGUAGGUCCCAAGGGUUGGGCUGUUCGCCCAUUAAAGCGGUACGCGAGCUGGGUUUAGAACGUCGUGAGACAGUUCGGUCCCUAUCCGCUGCGCGCGCAGGAAACUUGAGAAGGGCUGUCCCUAGUACGAGAGGACCGGGACGGACGAACCUCUGGUGUGCCAGUUGUUCCGCCAGGAGCACCGCUGGUUGGCUACGUUCGGAAGGGAUAACCGCUGAAAGCAUCUAAGCGGGAAGCCUGCUUCAAGAUGAGGUUUCCACACCCCUAGAGGGUGGGAGGCACCCAGCAGAACACUGGGUAGAUAGGCCGGACGUGGAAACGGGGACCAACGACCCGUGCAGCUGACCGGUACUAAUCAGCCGACAACUUCACCAA